UUACAAAAUUGAUACACGGAGACGAAAAAAGAAAGAUAUGGGAAAGGCGGAAGCAUGGAAAAAAAAGACACAAUUUUAUACACUUCUUUCC
rnacentral:ribozyme from 12 species